CACACUUUUUUUUCACUCAGAAAAUGUCAAAAAGUUAGCCCAGCGCAGCACACGCCAAAGGUACAAAUUUUGAUUGAUUUAAUAAUGAACCGUGUGAUGCAAUGGAAAAGGAAAGUGUGAAUAAGCAGAGGAGAGGAGGACACGUGAAGCCACAAAACCGUACAGGUCACAAGAAGAGGAAGAAGAUGCGCCACGUGUGGCGUCGGCGUGAACACAACACACAACACCGCCACGGCACGCCAGUCACCAGUGUGCCGGGUGCCUCGGUGGUGGUGGUUAACGCAGCUGUUACACGGGAACAAUUUUGGUGGAGCAGGGUGACAUGACUGCCUGGCAACCAUGGGGCGGACUUUUAUUUUUUAUUUUUUAACGUGUACGCCUAUAGCGCCGGUAGGCUUACUUGAGGGGCCUGGAUGGUGUUCGGCCCCAGCCCGUCAUGGCGCAGGCAAGUGUUUAUAGUGGCGCCAUCUUCUCUUGGCUCUUGCUGCCCCCCGGAACUCCUUCUUGAUUCACUUGGACGGUUUCCUCUAGAGUCCGGGUUGAUGGGUGGUCUUCAGGACAGCAUGUGGGUAGUUUUAAGCCACUCGGCGGCGACUGAAAAAUCCCAGGUGGUAGCGUGGGGAUUCAAACCCAUGUCGUCUUUCACGCGGUGAAUGUGGGCCCAGCACGCUACCACUCAGCCACCGCCUACCCUUUGUACAAGUCGAAGACCUGAGCGUGGGUUCCCUUUGUUCGCUGCAAGACGAGAGUGCUCAGAGCAGAAAUCAAUGGGAAUAGUCUUGGUCAGGGCUGCCACCUUGGUUUAAAAAAAGAGGAACACAACAUCCCAUUCUCCAAUACAGAACGAAUCCAUAUUCAAAGGAACGGAUGGCAAGCCUAAAAUUUCUCAAAGCCUGCCAUGACUGACAGCUGCUGCUGGUGAAGGCAAAAGGAAGGAGGGAGACACAUUGUGACGUGUGUUUUACUUGUAUUUCAGGAAGGUGAAGGCAAAAGGAAGGAGGGAGACACAUUGUGACGUGUGUUUUACUUGUAUUUCAGGAAGGUGAAGGCAAAAGGAAGGAGGGAGACACAUUGUGACGUGUGUUUUACUUGUAUUUCAGGAAGGUGAAGGCAAAAGGAAGGAGGGAGACACAUUGUGACGUGUGUUUUACUUGUAUUUCAGGAAGGUGAAGGCAAAAGGAAGGAGGGAGACACAUUGUGACGUGUGUUUUACUUGUAUUUGAGGCCUCGGCGGCUUGCAUGCCCUCCUGGACGUGAUGACUCCCGUCCACCCUCCAUCUUGGCCGAUGCGUUGGGUUAGCAUCACACGGUGGAUGGACGUACAGUACUGUCUCCAGGAUUGCGAGUUUCAAGUUUGCAAUUCACCGAGUUUGUGACAGGGACAAAAAAAAUUAGAUUUUUGAUGAAAACUGAAAUUGCAAUAUGACUCAAAAGGAAAAGGAAAAGGCUGCUAAAACUGGGAUUUUUCACACCUUGUUGUGGUCCUUGACUCCCAUGCUCGCUCUUACCCAGCCCCCGGGCCUUUCCACUGGCCGCGGGAAGCAUGGUGAGUGGGAUCCGGGCAGCCAGGCGCAUGUUUUUUUUUAUUUUUUAUUUUUUUUAUUUAUUUAUUUUUUUUUUUUACAUUGCUGCCUAUUGCGCCGGUAGGCUUCUUCCCGAUGGAACCUGAUGGUCGGUCCAAGGCUUCUUUCCGGUGGGUCCUGAUGGUCGGCCCAGCCCGUUCUGGCGCAGGCGAGAUUUUAUAGUGGCGCCAUCUUGCAUUGGCUCAUGCUGCCCUCCCAGAGCUCAUCUUUGAUCCUAGAAUCUAGAGUCCGGGUUGAUAGGUGGUCUUCUGGACAGCAUGUGGGUAGUUUUAAGCCACUCGGCGGCGAGCAGCCCCGACCGCGCGCCGGGC